rnacentral:snoRNA from 1 species
CUUAUGAUACUAGUUGGCUUGUUAAACUAGGGCUUAAAACGUUUAAGCUGGGGCUCUGCCCCGUGAUGUACAGUCCCUUUCCACAACGUUGGAGAGAAAGCCAGGCCUUGAGUCUGCGCCUGCAUAUUCCUACAACUUCUCAGAGUCCUGUGGGCAAUGACUGAGGAGACAAACAAACAAACAAACAAAC